GUGCUUGCUUUGGCAGCAUAUAUACUAAAAUUGGAAUGAUACAGAGAAGAUUAGCUUGGCCCCUGUGCAAGAUAACACGCAAAUUUGUGGAGUGUCCUAUAUUAAA